AUACCUUUCUCGGCCUCUUGGCUAAGAUCAAGUGUAGUAUCUGUUCUUAUCAGUUUAAUAUCUGAUACGUGGAUUAAUGAUUCACAUGAUAUUAAAUUAAUUUUUUUAAGGGGUGAAUCUACUACAAUAGCUGGCUAUUGAGGCUCACAAGUGUCAUUUUUGCGUUGCACUACAGCAAAGCUUGGCACACGCUAC